rnacentral:rRNA from 1 species
ACUACGAGUGGCAGCAGUGGGGAAUAUUGCACAAUGGGGGAACCCCUGAUGCAGCGACGCCGCGUGAGUGAAGAAGUAAUUCGUUACGUAAUGCUCUAUCAGCAGGGAAGACAAUGACGGUACCUGAGUAAGAAGCCCCGGCUAACUACGUGCCAGCAGCCGCGGUAAUACGUAGGGGGCCAGCGUUAUCCGGAUUUACUGGAUGUAAAGGGAGCGUAGACGGGGGGCGAGGUCUGGAGUGAAAUGCCGCAGCGUAAGUGCUGUACUGCAUUGGCAACUGGCGAACUAGAGUGCGGGAGGGGUAAGCGGAAUUCCUGGUGUAGCGGUGAAAUGCGUAGAUAUUAGGAGGAACACCGGUGGCGAAGGCGGCUUACUGGACCGUAACUGACGUUGAGGCUCGAAAGCGUGGGGAGCAAACAGGAUUAGAUACCCGGGUAGUC